AACGAACGCUGGCGGCAGGCUUAACACAUGCAAGUCGAACGCAUCCUUCGGGGUGAGUGGCAGACGGGUGAGUAACGCGUGGGAACGUGCCCUUCAGUUCGGGAUAACCCAGGGAAACUUGGGCUAAUACCGGAUACGUGCGAGAGCAGAAAGAUUUAUCGCUGAAGGAUCGGCCCGCGUCUGAUUAGCUAGUUGGUGGGGUAAUGGCCCACCAAGGCGACGAUCAGUAGCUGGUCUGAGAGGAUGAUCAGCCACAUUGGGACUGAGACACGGCCCAAACUCCUACGGGAGGCAGCAGUGGGGGAUAUUGGACAAUGGGCGCAAGCCUGGUCCAGCCAUGCCGCGUGAGUGAUGAAGGCCUUAGGGUUGUAAAGCUCUUUCGUCCGGGACGAUAAUGACGGUACCGGAAGAAGAAGCCCCGGCUAACUCCGUGCCAGCAGCCGCAGUAA
rnacentral:rRNA from 1 species